GUGGGGGAUAUUGCACAAUGGGGGGAACCCGUGAUGCAGCGACGCCGCGUGGGUGAAGGAGCGUUUCGGCGCGUAAAGCCCUAUCGGCAGGGAAGAAGAUGACGGUACCUGACCAAGAAGCCCCGGCUAACUACGUCGCC
rnacentral:rRNA from 1 species